rnacentral:misc_RNA from 1 species
GAUGAAGAACGUAGCGAAAGUGCGAAACGUAAUGUGAAUUGCAGAAUUCAGUGAAUCAUCGAAUCUUUGAACGCACAUUGCGCCCCUUGGUAUUCCGAGGGGCAUGCCUGUUCGAGCGUCAUUAUAACCCCUCAAGCUCAGCUUGGUGUUGGGGCCUGCUGCACUGGCAGCCCUUAAAAUCAGUGGCGGCGCCAUCUGGCUCUAAGCGUAGUAAUUCUUCUCGCUAUGGAGUCCUGGUGGAUGCUUGCCAUCAACCCCCAAUUUUUCUAUGGUUGACCUCGGAUCAGGUAGGGAUACCCGCUGAACUUAAGCAUAUCAAUAAGCGGAGGA